rnacentral:rRNA from 1 species
UACGGAGGGUGCGAGCGUUGUCCGGAAUCAUUGGGCGUAAAGGGCGCGUAGGUGGCCCGGUCAGCGUGCGGUGAAAGCUCGGGGCUCAACCCCGAGUCGGCCGUGCGAACUGCUGGGCUUGAGCACUGUAGAGGCAGGUGGAAAUCCGGGUGUAGCGGUGGAAUGCGUAGAGAUCCGGAAGAACACCGGUGGCGAAGGCGGCCUGCUGGGCAGUGGCUGACGCUGAGGCGCGACAGCGUGGGGAGCAAACAGG